CGUUGAUUCUCUUUCUCUUUCUCACACACUCUCUUUAUCUCUCUGUAGCUCACUCUUUCUCUCGUUACCCCUCUCUAUCUCUUUGUCUUUCUUUCACCUGCUCUCUCUCCUUCUCUCACACACACUCUUUUUCUCCCCUUCUUCCUCUCUUUAUCUUUCUCCUUCUCGUUAAGGGGAGAUCACCACGGCUCAUCACCCAUUCACUCUCGCGCUUCUUCACCUACAAACCAUCGCCUUCUACAAUUGUUCCUUUCACUCCCACUCACUCUACACCUUUAUCUCUUUCUCCCUCUCUCUCUCCCCCUCUUCUACAUCUCCCUGCCUUUCUCUCUACCUCUGCCUCAUCCUCCGUCCUUCCAGCUACUUCAUAUUUACUCAUAAAUAUAUCUAUCUUUCUAUCUACACACAACAACGAAAAAAAGCCAAAAAGUAACCACAGCAUCUCGGACAUUACAUUUCAUCACAAAAAGGUUACGUAUAUUUUAGAUUACUAAAUAUUACUCCUAAACCAUCAUCAUAACUCUUUUCGUAGUUUAAUGAUCACCUUUAAUUACAUCUCGUUAUCGUCUGUUUCGUAUCUUCCACCAUUUUGUCUCUACCACGCCUGGACUCGCAGAGGAGAAGCGACGGUGAAUUAUUUUUUACCUUUAUUUCUAUCAAUUUUCACCCAUAAAUAAUCAUUCUAUUUUUACAUUUCAAUGCUAAACCCUCCUUUUUUUAUUUGAAAUACCUUAAAAGCCCUUCAUAGUUUCAGUAUCCAUAAUAACACACCAUCAGCGAUCGUCUUGUCACGUUUGAGUUUCUCAUUCGUAAUUUCCCUCCUUAAAUAUAUUUGUUUUUGUUUUAAAUGUUUGCAAUUUAAUUAAUUACCAUGAUUACAUAAUUGACACUGGUUAUAAUGACAAUUGAUUCUCUUUUUAUAACGGUGGAUCUUGGAGUACAUAGAACUAUAAAUAAUAAUAAUAACUGUAGAUAUUGGAAUCCUUUUAAACUGCUUCCAACCAUUCAAAGUUCUUCAAAUUUUCACCAGAUUAUUAUUAUUAUUAUUAUUAUUAAUUGUAGCUUUUGCAUGCAGCUGAUGAUUGUCGAAAUUCAUUCUUCCUAGAAAUUAAUAAUAAAGAAAUUACAUUUAAAAGGUACUACUAACCAACAGUGGUCCCGGUGCGCGCACUCGUGCAAGCUAGUCGUGACCAGGUCGAUGCUACGACUACGUAGCAAAGUAAAUAAAACACAAAAACACGAAGUAAAUAAUUCUUUAAACAAAGUAAAUAACAUAAAAACACAAAGUAAGGAUCGACUAGUCAUGACUAGCUAGCGCGUGCGCGCACCGGGACCACUGUUCGCCAGUAGUUUACCCAUUUAAAAAAAUAAUAAUAUUCAGGUGAAAAUUUGAAAAACUUCAGGUUGUUGGAAGAAUUUAACAAAAUGCAAAUAUUGAGUUGAAAAUCCCUUUGAUGGAAGAAUAAGUCGAAAGCUGUUCCUGAGACUCGAACCCACAACUUCUGUAAACAAGCGUAGCUUUCGAUUUUUUUGUAUCCGAAGCGAUUUUCAACCGAUAUUUACAUGCUGUUCAUUUAUAGCUUUAUCUGCUUCGAGAACCACUAUUACAAAAAAAUUUUGCAAGUUCUCUCGAAAGUUUAUCUAUUCUAAUGAUCGCAUUAUUUUAUUUAUUUAUUUGCUAUGUUUAUAGAGUUUUGUUUUUGUUUUUCACAGACCUUUUGGAAUCGAAGACGUCCAAUAAUAAACUUUCAAAUCAAGAAGUGGAAGGUGUAAGCAAAAUAUAAUAUUUUAAGCCGCAUAUAAAAACAUCGCAGCGACUCGAAUUUCUACUACUACUACUACUACUACUGCGGCUAUCGCUGUUGUUAUAUAGUGUUAUCUCUGUCGUCGCCAUGGGUGAUCGAUACAACAUCCACAGCCAGUUGGAACAUCUGCAAUCGAAAUACAUCGGAACUGGACACGCGGAUACAAAUAAAUGGGAAUGGCUGACGAAUCAACACAGGGACAGCUACGCUUCCUACCUUGGCCAUUUUGAUAUGCUCAAUUAUUUCUCGCUGGUGGAAAACGAAUCGAAGGCUCGCGUCCGUUUCAAUCUGAUGGAAAAAAUGGUACAGCCAUGUGGUCCGCCUCCCGAAAGACCAGAAGAUUAAAUCACAUCGGACUCUACCCACUCCCCCUCUUUUUUUUUUAUCUUAUAUGUAUAUAUAAAUAUUUUUUUUUUCAAUUUCAUUCAUAUUUUCUUAUCAUUUUACAAUUGUUAAUUUUUUCUCUUUCUCCCGCCAUCUUCAUUUCACACCCCAUUACACACACAGACGCAUUGACACAUGCAUUUGUAAUUUUCCGGCCCAGUUUCGAUCUCAACUAAUAUUUUUCCGGCGUGUCCAGUGGCUUUUAACUAAGUCGAAUCACCCAGUCAUUUAGGAUCUUAGUUAAAGACUAUUUAUUUCAGUCAUGUUGCUACUACCCUUACAUAAGACGUGAUCAAUUCACACACACUUUCUCUCUCUCUCCCUCUCUCUCUCUCUCUACCCCUAAAAAACGUAGGACCUAAAUAAUAAAUAAAAAUAUGAUAACACAGGCUUCGUACUCACGAAAACAACAACAGUCUUAAAGAAGAAGGGACACAUUGCUUUAAUUCAGUUAUAUUAAUGUGGGAAAAAGAUGAAGUGGACUUUAGAAUGCUUUAUAUAUCUGUUCAGAGUUGACCUGGAGCUAAGCAACAAGAAGCUAAAAUUAACCAUCAACGCGAUGGCGUGUCCAAUCCAUCUGCAGUUAAGGCUGGAGGUGAGAGAGCACGGCCGUAAGCCAUUUUCACUUUCACUUUAAGCCUGGUUGGAUGUCUUCAGAAUGAACACAAAUGUCUCGGCGUCUCCUGUUUUAUUGUGUCAUCGCAGUUAAGGGCCUGUGUGUACGAAACCACUGUUUACUCUAAAACUAGCCACCAUCACUAAAACUCCUCCCGCUACUCAGUGCUAUUGUAAACAAACUCACGCACGCACUCACCAACGAACGGUUCCAGCGGACUUGGCGGUUUGUUUAUUUACAUAUUACAAAAGCAGCAGAACGUGACUGAUUCAUUGUCAUGGGCCUUUAUUGAUAUUAGUUUUAGCUACAGCAAUUUUUGUUUUCUUUUUAAUAUUUACCAUAAUCAUUUUGAGUUAUUAUUUAUUAAUUUUUUUUUAUUAAGAUCGUUAUAUUAAUAAUUUUACUUAGAAAGUUCAAACACAAAUACAUUUACAUAUAUUUUUUUUUAUUCAUAUUUGUCAAUUUAUCAAUAAACCUUGUCAUUUGAGCAAAGAUUUUUAUCAUCUGGACUUCAAAUGUUUUCCUUUGAUUUCCUUCAGAUGUUUUAAGUGUCUUUUUCUUCUUUUUUUUUUCUUUGGAGGCACAUGGCUUAGUGGUUAAAGUGUUGGGCUGUUGAUCAUAAGAUUGUGGUUUCAAUUCCUGGGCCUGACAUUGCAUUGUGUACUUGAGCAUAACACUUCAUUUCACAUUGCUUCAGUAGACCCAGCUACCAAAAGUGAGUAAUCCUGCAACAGACCAGCUUCCCAUCUAGGGGAGUUGGGAUAUAUAUGUCAGAGAAUCCAAGCAGCUGGCCCUAUGAGCCUUUAU
rnacentral:lncRNA from 1 species